GGUGGGGUGAUGGCCUACCAAGGCGACGACGGUUAGCCGGCCUGAGAGGGCGACCGGCCACACUGGGACUGAGACACGGCCCAGACUCCUACGGGAGGCAGCAGUGGGGAAUAUUGCACAAUGGGCGGAAGCCUGAUGCAGCGACGCCGCGUGAGGGAUGACGGCCUUCGGGUUGUAAACCUCUUUCAGCAGGGACGAAGCGCAAGUGACGGUACCUGCAGAAGAAGCGCCGGCCAACUACGUGCCAGCAGCCGCGGUAAGACGUAGGGCGCGAGCGUUGUCCGGAUUUAUUGGGCGUAAAGAGCUCGUAGGCGGCUUGUCGCGUCGACUGUGAAAACCCGCGGCUCAACUGCGGGCUUGCAGCCGAUACGGGCAGGCUAGAGUUCGGUAGGGGAGACUGGAAUUCCUGGUGUAGCGGUGAAAUGCGCAGAUAUCAGGAGGAACACCGGUGGCGAAGGCGGGUCUCUGGGCCGAUACUGACGCUGAGGAGCGAAAGCGUGGGGAGCGAACAGGAUUAGAUACCCUGGUAGUCCACGCUGUAAACGUUGGGCGCUAGGUGUGGGGGGCCUCUCCGGUUCUCUGUGCCGCAGCUAACGCAUUAAGCGCCCCGCCUGGGGAGUACGGCCGCAAGGCUAAAACUCAAAGGAAUUGACG
rnacentral:rRNA from 1 species